rnacentral:rRNA from 1 species
CACGUAGGACGCGAGCGUUAUCCGGAGUUACUGGGCGUAAAGGGCAGGUAGGCGGGUCGCUAAGUUGGGUGUGAAAUCUCCCAGGCUUAACCGGGAGGGUGCACUCAAGACUGGCGGUCUGGAGGGCGGCAGAGGAGCGUGGAAUUCCGGGUGGAGUGGUGAAAUGCGUAGAGAUCCGGAGGAACACCAGAGGCGAAAGCGGGGCUCUGGGCCGCACCUGACGCUGAACUGCGAAAGCCAGGGGA